UACGUAGGGGCCUAGCGUUGUCCGGAUUUAUUGGGCGUAAAGAGCUCGUAGGCGGUUCGGUAAGUCAGGUGUGAAAUCUCCACGCUCAACGUGGAGGGGCCACCUGAUACUGCCGUGACUCGAGUCCGGUAGGGGAGUGUGGAAUUCCCGGUGUAGCGGUGAAAUGCGCAGAUAUCAGGAGGAACACCGGUGGCGAAGGCGGGUCUCUGGGCCGAUACUGACGCUGAGGAGCGAAAGCGUGGGGAGCGAACAGG
rnacentral:rRNA from 1 species